ensembl:lncRNA
UGUGUCUGUUCAGUAAAAGGCCACUGCUUUCAGUGGUUUUGCUCUAUCGCUAUGACAAGGGCAGAGCCGGAGCAUCCUUCACAUCUUCCCAUAAUUGGUAAAAUCGACAGCUAGCCUUGAUCUUCCAUAUAACUUAGUCAUAUGUGGAUUAGAUUUGCAGGGGAGGUGGGAGGGGGAGGAAAACAAAGACUAUAAAAAAAUGAUAAAACUGAUUGAGACUGAGAACUUGACAUGAGAUGCUUAACAUCUGAGAAUCUUCACAGAUGAAAGUUGUACAAUGCUGUUUUUCUUCCUCCCACACUGGGAAUUUACUAUAUGCUCUCAUUUCUCUGGCUUAUCUCACUUUUGUUCUAGACCCUGAGUCCUACUCAUGUCCCUACGAUUGUCUCUGUAUUUUAUCCAUCAACAUCUGAAUGCUAAUCACUCAAAAAUCCUGAGAGCGGAGACAGACUCCAAGGGCUUCCCCUCAGAAGGCCUAGAGUCACAGUCUGCCUUGUGCUUUCUGCGAUGCCCCUUCAGCGUCAUGUCCCUUCAUUCAUAGCUGGACAGUGUGAGCCAAAGUGGAGGAGAUGUCUUUUCAGCCACACCUGGUAGAAGAAAUCUGCAACCAUGGCACUUGACACAGAUCCUCUUUGAUGCUGAACUGACAAGUUACUUGCAGAGUUUGAAUGGAGCAAAGGGAAAUUUUUCCAGAGGAAGCUACAAAUUUGCAGCAACUGCCAAGGAGGUGUGCAGCCAGUGCAAAGGUGUUACAUCCAGAGGUGCUAAGUACCUGAGCUCCUUCCUGACACCAGUGGGGCAGAAUGCUCUGCAUCUCUCUGAAGGCAGAGCGUCCACGCACAGUUGUGAAGCAGAUGAUCAUUACACCAGCUCACAGAAAACACAAACAGGAGGUGCAGUUUUCAAGCUAGUGGGCAAAAAUAUCCUCACCUGCUGCCCAG